rnacentral:rRNA from 1 species
GGGUACUCGAGCGGCGAACGGGUGAGUAACACGUGAGCAACCUGCCCCAGGCUUUGGGAUAACCCUCGGAAACGGGGGCUAAUACCGAAUAUGACUUCGGCUCGCAUGGGGUGUGGUGGAAAGUUUUUCGGCUUGGGAUGGGCUCGCGGCCUAUCAGCUUGUUGGUGGGGUAAUGGCCUACCAAGGCGACGACGGGUAGCCGGCCUGAGAGGGCGACCGGCCACACUGGGACUGAGACACGGCCCAGACUCCUACGGGAGGCAGCAGUGGGGAAUAUUGCACAAUGGGCGGAAGCCUGAUGCAGCGACGCCGCGUGAGGGAUGACGGCCUUCGGGUUGUAAACCUCUUUCAGCAGGGACGAAGCGAAAGUGACGGUACCUGCAGAAGAAGCACCGGCCAACUACGUGCCAGCAGCCGCGGUAAGACGUAGGGUGCGAGCGUUGUCCGGAUUUAUUGGGCGUAAAGAGCUCGUAGGCGGCUUGUCGCGUCGACCGUGAAAACUUGGGGCUCAACCCCAAGCCUGCGGUCGAUACGGGCAGGCUAGAGUUCGGUAGGGGAGACUGGAAUUCCUGGUGUAGCGGUGAAAUGCGCAGAUAUCAGGAGGAACACCGGUGGCGAAGGCGGGUCUCUGGGCCGAUACUGACGCUGAGGAGCGAAAGCGUGGGGAGCGAACAGGAUUAGAUACCCUGGUAGUCCACGCUGUAAACGUUGG